AAAAGCCCUAUGGAUAAAAGCCAAAAAAAGGAGAACAGAUCUAAAAUUAAAAUAUGAAAGAGUAUGCAGUGAAUAUUGUAUAAGUGGAAAGCCAGCCACUUUAGAGGAUAUAAAUAAUGAAGAUUAGAAGAUUGGAUUCCAAACCAAAACAUAGUGUACCAAAGCCAGGCAAUAAAAAGAAAUGGUGAUCUAGAACGCAAGGAAAUAGCUGAUAAAAGAAAUAAAAGUGAAGAAAAUAAUGCUGAGACUUCUCUCGACCAUGAACAAACACCACUAACACCAGAUAUUUUAAAUGUAG
rnacentral:lncRNA from 1 species